rnacentral:rRNA from 1 species
AUUGAACGCUGGCGGCAUGCCUUACACAUGCAAGUCGAACGGUAACAGGUCUUCGGAUGCUGACGAGUGGCGAACGGGUGAGUAAUACAUCGGAACGUGCCCGAUCGUGGGGGAUAACGCAGCGAAAGCUGUGCUAAUACCGCAUACGAUCUACGGAUGAAAGCGGGGGAUCGCAAGACCUCGCGCGGACGGAGCGGCCGAUGGCAGAUUAGGUAGUUGGUGGGAUAAAAGCUUACCAAGACGCCGAUCUGUAGCUGGUCUGAGAGGACGACCAGCCACACUGGGACUGAGACACGGCCCAGACUCCUACGGGAGGCAGCAGUGGGGAAUUUUGGACAAUGGGCGCAAGCCUGAUCCAGCCAUGCCGCGUGCAGGAUGAAGGCCUUCGGGUUGUAAACUGCUUUUGUACGGAACGAAAAAGCUCUCUCUAAUACAGGGGGUGAAUGACGGUACCGUAAGAAUAAGCACCGGCUAACUACGUGCCAGCCGCCGCCGUAA